rnacentral:rRNA from 1 species
CCUACGGGGGGCAGCAGUGGGGAAUAUUGCGCAAUGGGCGCAAGCCUGACGCAGCGACGCCGCGUGAGGGAUGAAGGUCUUCGGAUCGUAAAGCUCUGUCAGCAGGGAAGAACGGUCACUGUGCUAUUCAGCAGUUGAUUGACGGUAACUACAGAGGAAGCACCGGCUAACUCCGUGCCAGCAGCCGCGGUAAUACGGAGGGUGCGAGCGUUAAUCGGAAUUACUGGGCGUAAAGCGCUCGUAGGCGGUAUGUCAAGUCAAGGGUGAAAGCCCCGCGCUCAACGUGGGAACUGCCUUUGAAACUGGGAAACUGGAGUGGGUGAGAGGAUAGUGGAAUUCCAGGUGUAGGAGUGAAAUGCGUAGAUAUCUGGAGGAACAUCAGUGGCGAAGGCGAC